GGGGCUGUUUGGUUUCGACAGCAGGUAGAAGGAAUAUGUAAGCAUGUCGAGCAUUGUGAUGCUGGCUCGUAAAUCUCAGAUCUCAACAAUUUUAACUGGCGAAAAUAAUUACGCUCUUGCUGCUUAAUCGAAUCAUAGUAGAUUAUAGCUUAAUUCCGGCACUAGGUGCUGGAACAGGACAUUUCCCAAAUGCCAUCGCCUCGAGGCAAUUUGAACCGGAAGUGCAGCUAAAUCGGGGAUAGUUCUGCAUAGCCUCGUAUGUGGAAUGAAAAUUUAGAGGAUAAGGUGUGAGUUGGUGGCUCCGGUCUUGCUCACACACGAAAACUUAGGCGGAGAUAAACAUGUAGAAAGCUUAUUUUUUCCUUGUUUGGACGAGGGUUCGACUCCCUCCAGCUCCACUG
rnacentral:tmRNA from 1 species